rnacentral:lncRNA from 1 species
CAUCCACACAACCAUGAGCAUUUUCUUUGCUUUUUUCUUUCUUUUCUUUUUCUUUGCUCUACGGUUUCAAGGGUGAUUUCUUUUUCUUGUUUCUUUUCAUAUUUUUCACCCUUCCAUAAAAACUCACUUUUCCAAGUUUCUAAUCAACUAUUUUUUUCUUUACUCUCCCCAACUUUAGAUUCCAAACUGUCGCAACCUGCGAAAACAAUUGGCGAAAAAAGAAAAAUGACAGAAGAGUCGCCACCGUGCGUUAUUUAUCCCAAAGGAGGGAAAGGAAACGCUCGAAGUAAACCUGAAGAAAC